AAACUAGGAUUAGAUACCCUAUUAGUUAAAUAAAAAUUUAGUAGUAGCUGAAUUUCAUGAAACUAAAAUUAAUUGGCGGCUUUUUAAAUUUUUUAGAGGAAUUUAUUCUGUAAAGGAUUAAACACCUAAAUCUUACUUAUAUUUGUUAAUUCAGUUUGUAUACCGCUAUUUUUUUAUACAAAAAUGUAUUUUUUAAUAUUUAUUUUUAUGACUAAAUUUUAGGUUAGGUGCAGCUUAUGUGUAAGGUUGAAAUAAAUUAUAUAAAUUUUUAUUUAACAAUACUUUUUAAUUAUUUUUUAAGGGUAUAGAAGAAUUUAAAAGUAAAAUUAAUAUAAUAGGUUAAUUUGAAUAAUUGUUUGAUUGUGUACAUAUUGCCCGUCACUCUCUUUUGGAGAUAAGUCGUAACAUAGUA
rnacentral:rRNA from 1 species